UGUUGCAAUUUUGUUGAUCAUAUCUUGCAGUGAUGAUAUUUUAAAUCGUGUUCGUGUGAUAUGCUUUUUACUGUGUUUAAUAUCAUGAAAUUGUUUGAAGUAUUUGAUUUAAAAAGAAAAAGUGUGUGGUUUUUACCUUGUAAUUUGGUACAACCAUUAAUUGUAGUAAUAAUGGUAUCACUAUCAGUGGUAUUGCUACUACUAUGAUUAAUAUUGUUUCUUGUGUGCUGGCUUGCCAAGCUUGGUCUUAACGAAACGGUGGCUAAAUAAUCUAAAUAAACCUAAUCCCGUUCUUUUUCCUUCCAAAAGACGAAACCACGACCACGUCAACUACGCCCACGCCCACGCCCACGCCCACGUCAAUAAGGACGACCUCAACGACACAAAAUGCUACAGUUAUACCAGACAGGCUCUUCUGUGCCGCGGAGUGUGGGCGUGCGAACCUCACCGUGCCCCGGAUCGUGGGCGGGCAGGUGGCGACGAGGCUGGAGUACCCGUGGGUGGCCUACAUCACCAUCUCGGGCGGCGGCGGCCAGGACGUGUCGUGCGGGGGCGCCAUCGUCAACAGGGAUCACGU